GUGUGUGAUUUAAGCAAUGAAAAAAUUAUGCUAUAUACCUGAUUAGGAUUGUCCUAUUUUGGCUACAUAAUUUUCUGAGAAUUAUAUUGUUUCAAAUCAUUAGGUAAAGAUGGGAUUUUUGAGAAGAUUGAUGUCAUGGAUUCCAUUCACAUCCUCUGAUAUACUCCCCUAUCUAUAUGUCAUGGAUGUUAUAUCACAUCAUUGCUACUCUUUUGAAUUGCUGCUUGGGUUAGGAACUAGAGAUUUUUUUGGCUUUGAUUACAUAAAACAUCAUCAGAAAUCAAUCUAUGUCACAACAUGGCAGUGUAAAUAAUAUAUAAAUA
rnacentral:lncRNA from 1 species